rnacentral:rRNA from 1 species
GAACGCGAAAGCCCCGCAAGGGGUAAGUAGAGUGGCAAACGGGUGAGUAACGCGUGGGUGACCUGCCUUCGAGUGGGGGAUAACGUUCCGAAAGGGACGCUAAUACCGCAUGACAUCCCGCCUUUGAAGAGGCGGCGAUCAAAGCCGGGGUCGCAAGACCUGGCGCUUGAAGAGGGGCCCGCGUCCGAUUAGCUAGUUGGUGGGGUAACGGCUCACCAAGGCGACGAUCGGUAGCCGGCCUAAGAGGGCGGACGGCCACACUGGGACUGAGACACGGCCCAGACUCCUACGGGAGGCAGCAGUGGGGAAUUGUUCGCAAUGGGCGCAAGCCUGACGACGCAACGCCGCGUGGAGGAUGAAGAUCUUCGGGUCGUAAACUCCUUUCGAUUGGGACGAACGCUCCGCGGGUGAACAAUCCGUGGGGGUGACGGUACCGAGAGAAGAAGCCCCGGCUAACUCCGUG